rnacentral:piRNA from 1 species
UUUUCUUGCAACGUACUUUUA